rnacentral:rRNA from 1 species
UACGAAGGGGGCUAGCGUUGCUCGGAAUCACUGGGCGUAAAGCGCACGUAGGCGGCUUUCUAAGUCAGGGGUGAAAUCCUGGAGCUCAACUCCAGAACUGCCUUUGAUACUGGAGAGCUAGAGUCCGGAAGAGGUGAGUGGAACUGCGAGUGUAGAGGUGAAAUUCGUAGAUAUUCGGAGGAACACCAGUGGCGAAGGCGGCUCACUGGUCCAUUACUGACGCUGAGGUGCGAAAGCGUGGGGAGCAAACAGG